AUGGAAGCUCCUCCCACUGGACAGGUUGUGGUGUGUUUGUUUUUAGCUGAUCAGAGUCAGAGCUGCAAACCUUCCAGGAGUUUCAUCUGCUGUUCUGCCACCAUGGAGGACAUCUACCAGCAUCCCGUUUUCCUGGAGAGUUCCAGACCUCUAGAAGAAGUCAGGAAGACUAAGACAGUCCAGCGCUAUUUCUGCGUCAGGCGCAGAUCUGGCGGAGGAGACUGCGGACCUCUGACCGCCGUGAGCCAAAACAGCUACAGGAUCAACUUCAGACACCAACAAGACCAGCAGGAAGUCCUGAGAAGAUCUCUGCAUGUUGUGGAGCUGGAAGAUGGUCCAGUGGAGAUCAGAGUCAGAAGCAGCUUGGAGCCUCCUGCCUCCUCCAGCUGCACUACCCCACCUUUUCCAGCAGAGGUCAGUGUGGGAGCUUUAUUAAAGUGAUGGAUUUGCAUCUUUUUCUCAACGACCUUUUUACCAUUUACAAAAGAAAAGAUUCAUACCCAUUAUAACCAUUUUAAAUGAGAAAAGUUGUGAGGUUUGAAAAUUUCCCUGAAGUGUCUAAAUCUGAUCUGAAAGUUAGAGAAAAUCUUAUUUAAACUGGAUUACAUGCUCAUUCUCUUCACAGAACUCCGAAGUUGUUCCUGAUGAAGAUCAACAGCCUCGGUCACUGAAAGAAAACCGGUUUUCUGAGGCGGAGCUGGUCUCUGCGCGCUGCGGUUCACCUGAGACUUUAGCUGAUUCUUCUGGUGAAGUUCGUAAUGAGUGGGCCAAAGACUCUGAGGGGUCAGUGACCAGCUGUGAGGAAAGUCCAGACACAAAGGAGGCAGACCGGAGCACAGAGGAGUGUGGGGAGGUCAGCCCAGCAAGUCCUCCAGCACCUGAAGACACAUUUGCUUCGAGUGAAGCAAGCAGGAUCCGACUCUGUGACACUGACACUGAGACAAGCACAGAUGCUGCUGGAGCUGCUGGGGGGCGUGUCCAUGUUCAGAUAGUCCAGGGGAACAUCGAGAUGCAGAAGGUUGGAUAUUGUUUCAUCUAACACGCUCAGUAGACAUUGAUUCCAUGUUUUGUGUGAAAACGUGUGCUUUUCAACUUAAAGGUGCUUGUGCAUUGGUUAUGUAUGAUCUUCAGGUUAAAUGAUAUGACUCAUGUUACACUUUCUUUUUUCAUUCAGAUUUAAAAUUGUCCAAUUUAUUUUUCAAAUAAAAGUUCUUCUGUCAUUAACUGCAGUUUGCAGGCUCAGAACUGAACUAUAUGAACCAACACUUGAACAUCUUCCUCCACGUGUCCCGUUCUCCCCUCAGACAGAUGCUCUGGUGUCUCCCAUGGUCGGCCAUCAUCCUGUGUCUACUCGUCUGGGAAACAUCCUAGAAAACAUAGUUGGCUCUCGUCUGACUGCAGGCUUCAUGGAAGUAGCAGCAGACGAAGGGAUGCCAGGGGACUCUGUGCUGGUAGAGGGACUGACUGGACUUCCUUCUAAAGCUGUGUUCUU
rnacentral:lncRNA from 1 species